rnacentral:rRNA from 1 species
AAUCCAGGUCAGGCGUGAUUAUCCAAUGAGUUUUAGAAUAUCAAUAAGUCGAGCAAAGAAACUUACAAAGGAUUCCCUUAGUAAUGGCGAGCGAACCAAAAAUAGCGCAGCGUUAGAAUCUGGUGGCUCCAUUAUCUGAAUUAUAGUCUAGACAAGAGUCCUCACCGAUGGACUGGGACCAUGGCCCCUAGAAGGGGGUAAGAGAGAGGGUGAGAGCCCCAUUGUGCCUGGACCCUGUAGCACCAUGAGGUUCUAUCUACGAGUCAUGUUGUUUGGUAAUGCAACCCAAAUCAAGUGGUGAAUUCUGUCUAAGGCUAAAUAUGGGUGAGAGAUAGAUAGCAAAUAAGUAGAGCGAGGGAAAGAUGAAAUGGACUUUGACAGGAGAGUCAAAGAGUACUUGAAAUUGUUAGGAGGUAAGUGAAUAGGGGCCGGCGAUGCACCCUGGUCGAAUAUAGUAUAACGAUGAGCCGGUUCACUGAUCGACUCGGUGUAUUGAUCGGCAUGGAUUGGGGCUGGCAAAAGUCCAGGAUCUCGAUAAGCUCAUAGAAUGUCGUCUCCUUGAUUAUGGAAUGCAACACGCACCUCUAACAUGCUUUGACAUCUGCACCCUCCAAACGCUGGCAUGUGUGCUCCCUAUUUGAACCAUCUUGAAACAAGGACCAAGGAGUUUGACAUGUUUGCAAGUCAACGAAUGAGUAAACCCUUAAGGUAUAAGGAAGAUGAUUGGUGGGAUCCCCUUGAGGGAUUAACUACUGACCGACUUUGAACUUCUGAGAAGGUUCGAGUCUGAGCGUACUUGUUGGGACCCAAAAGAUGGUGAACUAUGCUUGAGUAGAACGAAUCCAAAGAAAACUCUGGUGGAGGCUCGCAGUAAUACUGACAUUUAAAUUAUUCGUCUGACUUUUGUAUAGGGGUGAAAGACUAAUCAAACUGUCUAGUAGUUGGUUCCCUAUGAAGUUUCCCUCAAGAUAUAUGAAGCUGCGUGCGAGUUCUAUCGGGCAAAGCCAGUGAUUAGAGGCCUCGAGGGUCCAACACCCUCGACCUAUUCUCAAACAAUAAAUAGGUAGGACGGUGCAACUGCUUUGUUUAACUGCGCCGCUGAAUCAAAAGCUCCAUGUGGGCCAUUUUUUGUAAGAAUAACUAAUGAUACGGGAUGAACCAAAAGUCGGGUUAUGGUGCUAAACUGCAUGCUAACCUAGACACAACAAAGGGUGUUGGUCGAAUAAGAUAGUAGAACAAUUGUCAUGGAGUUUAAAAUCCUCUAAGGAGUGUGUAAAAACUCACCUCCUAAAUCAACUAAGCCUUAAAAAGAAUGGUACUUAAGCAAGCGACCGACACCCCGCCGUCCCGAUGAGUAGAAGGGCGUGAAGGUCACUGCAAAAACUUAGGCGCGAGCCUAGGCAUAACGACCAUUGUUGUAGAUCUUGGUGGUAGUAGAAAAAUAUUAAAAUGAGAACUUUGAGGGCUGAAGAAGGGAAAGGUUUCAUGUGAACGAAGUUUGCACAUGGUUAGUUGAUCCUAAGAUUCGGGGGAGCUCUGACAGAUACAAUGUUAGAAAGUACGGACACAUUAGCGAGAGCCUCAGAAAAAGUUAUCUUUUCUAUUUAACAGCCUACCCAUCCUGAAAUUGGCUCAGCAGGAGGUAGGGUCUAGCUGUUGGAAGAGCACCACACAUCACGUGGUGUCUGGUGUGCUCCUGGAGGCCCUUGAAAAUUCAAAGGACCAAAUGUCGUCCACGUCCGGUUAUACUCAUAACCCCAUCAGGUCUCCAAGUUGAACAACCUCUAGUCAAUGGAAUAAAGUAGGCAAGGAAAGUUGGCAAAAUGGAUUCGUAACUUUAAGAAAGGGAUUUUAUUUGAGGGAAGAGAACAAGGAUGAUACACCUAAAUUACACCUCUCUCACGAGAGAAUAAGCGGUUGCUGUGAAAUAUAAAACACAACAAGGUUGCAUGUCGAAUCUCACAGGGAAUACCGUGUUCACUAAGUAUUGUGAUUCUUAUUAGAUUGUUGAUCAAAGGUUCUUGAGUAAAAGUGGUCUUGAUUUAUGAUUUAUAUUCUAAAUAAUUGUAACAGAGUUGUUCCUAUGAUUCUUUUCGAAAGUAAUAAUUCAAUGAUAUUAAACAAACUAGAGUUAUGGUUACCAAGAUGCUUAAACAAUUUGGGCUGUGAAUCACUUUAGAGUUCCAAUUAAUAACUUCAAUUGAAAGAGUAGUUGAAUUCUAUUGUUUACCCAUUAGUUUCUCAACCUCAAUGGAUAGUUUAUCCUUUAAUUCUCUCAAAAUUAAAAACUGAAUUAAUUAUUCAACUAUUUUCUCGUGUAGGUCAAUCUUGUUAAGGCAUUUGCCGUUAAUUUAAAGGUUAAAGCGUUUAGAUUCCAUGUAAACCCUUUAUUUUCCAAACAAACACUUUUCUAUUCGAACAAGUGGUGUUCUUGGACUCGCUUUUAAAGUUUCCAACCAAGAAAAUUUUUUAAAGUGAAGAAGGGUUCAUGCAAUGUCAACUACCCAUGAAACUCAAUUAUAAUCAGAACCCAAAUCAGUGUUUCACAUCAAGGAUCCUAUAAUCCUAGUUAUGAGAGCUUAGCUGCACAUCUUCAUUGAAGAAAAAUAAAGAAUCUUCGUAUGAUUCCAAAAUUAAUUCAGUAUUCUCUUACAAAAGUUACAAGAUUUAGUUCUUGAACCUUCAAUAGAAAUGGAAUGAUUACAUCCACAAGUUUUGUUUAAUUCACAGGCUGCUACAUUACAGAGGUUAAAAAAUGGAAAAUUCAGGUAACAAUAUCCAAGAUCCCAGAAAUAAAACCCUAA